rnacentral:misc_RNA from 1 species
CUAAUAUGAUGAGAAAGCCUUUCAACACCACCUCCACUCUUCUCUAUAGAUAUCACCUUCACAUUCCAAACAUCCAUCACCUUCACAUUUGAAACCUUGAAUACAUUAACAAUGAAACUGAUUGG